rnacentral:rRNA from 1 species
GAUCCUGGCUUAGGACGAACGCUGGCGGCGUGCUUAACACAUGCAAGUUGAACGGUAUGACAUGGAAGCUUGCUGAAGUGUCAUAUAGUAGCGGACGGGUGAGUAAUGCAUGAGAAGCUGCCAUUGGGAGGGGGACAACAGUUGGAAACGGCUGCUAAUACCCCGUAUGCCGGAGGGUGAAAGGGAGUAAUCCGCCCGAUGAGGUGCUCAUGUCCUAUCAGCUGGUUGGUGGGGUAACGGCCUACCAAGGCGACGACGGGUAGCCGGCCUGAGAGGGUGAACGGCCACACUGGAACUGAGAUACGGUCCAGACUCCUACGGGAGGCAGCAGUGGGGAAUAUUUGGGCAAUGGGGGCAACCCUGACCCAGCGACGCCGCGUGGGGGAAGACGGCCUUCGGGUUGUAAACCUCUUUUGUACGGGAAGAAGGAAGUGACGGUACUGUACGAAUAAGUCCCGGCUAACUACGUGCCAGCAGCGGC